GAACUACUCCCUCCGUUCGGAAUUACUUGUCUCGGAAAUGGAUGUAUUUUGAAUUAAAACACGUCUAGAUACGUCCAUUUCUGCGACAAGUAAUUCCGAACGGAGGGAGUAAUAA
rfam:Triticum aestivum genome assembly, contig: Triticum_aestivum_CS42_TGACv1_scaffold_221086_3B